GCUGCUCCCUGGUGCAUAAUUCACUGCUCACUCCUCCAAGGAGGAGGGGUGGGUAUGAAGCCAGGAGGGACGCAGCUGCCCCUGGAGGAAGCAGGGCGACAUCCUGUAUACUUGAAAAGAAAACUGAAAGUGCCUUUCUUCACAAGAAAUUAUUGUGUUUUCCUCUUUUUUUCAUAACCCACAGGGAAGAUAUCAGCCUGCUGGAGCCCACCCCGAGGAGCCCCGUGCUAUAUGAUAUGGGUCCUGGUGAUAGGAACCUCUCUUCUGGCUGUUAAAGUGCAUUCCUGUGUAGAUGUGGAAAGAGAGAAAGCAUGCUGGAGCCGGAGCUAGGAUAGGAAUGAGUCUGGGACACGGAGAAGCCAUGCAACGUGCCUGAGAACUUACAGCAAAGUCAGUCGAAGGCUAGAGGAUUUUGUCCGGUGGGUUCGGGUGGUUUUGUAUGAAGACUAGCUUCCUGACGGCUGACGUGGGAAAGCAUAAGCAUGCCCACACUCAGGCCUCGGGCAUUCAUUGUGUGUCCAGAACCCAGCUGGACACUUGCUGUGAGGCAUCAAAGACUGGUGGAACUCGCGGGGUAUGAGGGGGUGAUGUGGGGACACUGGCACCACAGCAGUGCCCACUGGGCAGAGCUUCACUACUUUCCUCUCAUGUCUGCCCCCACCCUGCAGCGCGCUGGAAACUUCAGUCAAAGGACUCCAGGGGAAAAUGGGGCGGUCCGUGGUUGAAAUGAGUGAAAAACCAAAGCAGAUGCAAUCGACUCUGCUGAACCCCAUCUUUUCCCCCAAACACCUUAAAAACAAGCCCUGCGUCUGCUCAGUGCUUUCCAGCUUACCAACUGUUUUCAUAACACUAUCUCAUUUCAUCCUCACAUCAACCCACACACAUUCUUGCCUUUCAGAUUUCUUAUGUACUCAAACGAGUUUCACUGAAAAAAAUUGGCUAGAAACUCCCCUUCUUCUACUCAGUUUUUUUUAAAAACCCCAAGCCUUUGACUGAUAUCUUUAAGAAACUCCCAGAUUCCCAGGGUGGGAAAUGUAUUUAUACUGCCAGUCCUACCCCACUGGAUGGACUCCAGUAGUCCUGGUCUUUGCUAUUGGGACUAACAUUUUUUAAAAGAGAUUGAUUUAUUUAUUUGAGAGAGAGAG